rnacentral:rRNA from 1 species
GAUGAACGCUGGCGGCGUGCCUAAUACAUGCAAGUCGAGCGAACGGACGAGAAGCUUGCUUCUCUGAUGUUAGCGGCGGACGGGUGAGUAACACGUGGAUAACCUACCUAUAAGACUGGGAUAACUUCGGGAAACCGGAGCUAAUACCGGAUAAUAUUUUGAACCGCAUGGUUCAAAAGUGAAAGACGGUCUUGCUGUCACUUAUAGAUGGAUCCGCGCUGCAUUAGCUAGUUGGUAAGGUAACGGCUUACCAAGGCAACGAUGCAUAGCCGACCUGAGAGGGUGAUCGGCCACACUGGAACUGAGACACGGUCCAGACUCCUACGGGAGGCAGCAGUAGGGAAUCUUCCGCAAUGGGCGAAAGCCUGACGGAGCAACGCCGCGUGAGUGAUGAAGGUCUUCGGAUCGUAAAACUCUGUUAUUAGGGAAGAACAUAUGUGUAAGUAACUGUGCACAUCUUGACGGUACCUAAUCAGAAAGCCACGGCUAACUACGUGCCAGCAGCCGCGGUAAUACAUAGGUGGCAAGCGUUAUCCGGAAUUAUUGGGCGUAAAGCGCGCGUAGGCGGUUUUUUAAGUCUGAUGUGAAAGCCCACGGCUCAACCGUGGAGGGUCAUUGGAAACUGGAAAACUUGAGUGCAGAAGAGGAAAGUGGAAUUCCAUGUGUAGCGGUGAAAUGCGCAGAGAUAUGGAGGAACACCAGUGGCGAAGGCGACUUUCUGGUCUGUAACUGACGCUGAUGUGCGAAAGCGUGGGGAUCAAACAGGAUUAGAUACCCUGGUAGUCCACGCCGUAAUCGAUGAGUGCUAAGUGUUAGGGGGUUUCCGCCCCUUAGUGCUGCAGCUAACGCAUUAAGCACUCCGCCUGGGGAGUACGACCGCAAGGUUGAAACUCAAAGGAAUUGACGGGGACCCGCACAAGCGGUGGAGCAUGUGGUUUAAUUCGAAGCAACGCGAAGAACCUUACCAAAUCUUGACAUCCUUUGACAACUCUAGAGAUAGAGCCUUCCCCUUCGGGGGACAAAGUGACAGGUGGUGCAUGGUUGUCGUCAGCUCGUGUCGUGAGAUGUUGGGUUAAGUCCCGCAACGAGCGCAACCCUUAAGCUUAGUUGCCAUCAUUAAGUUGGGCACUCUAAGUUGACUGCCGGUGACAAACCGGAGGAAGGUGGGGAUGACGUCAAAUCAUCAUGCCCCUUAUGAUUUGGGCUACACACGUGCUACAAUGGACAAUACAAAGGGCAGCGAAACCGCGAGGUCAAGCAAAUCCCAUAAAGUUGUUCUCAGUUCGGAUUGUAGUCUGCAACUCGACUACAUGAAGCUGGAAUCGCUAGUAAUCGUAGAUCAGCAUGCUACGGUGAAUACGUUCCCGGGUCU